rnacentral:rRNA from 1 species
GACAGAGGGUGCAAACGUUGUUCGGAAUUACUGGGCGUAAAGCGCGUGUAGGCUGCUCGGAAAGUCGGAUGUGAAAGCCCUGGGCUUAACCCGGGAAGUGCACUCGAUACUGUCGAGCUAGAGUAUCGGAGAGGUUGGUGGAAUUCUCGGUGUAGAGGUGAAAUUCGUAGAUAUCGAGAGGAACACCGGUGGCGAAGGCGGCCAACUGGACGAAUACUGACGCUGAGACUCGAAAGCGUGGGGAGCAAACAGG